CCUACGGGGGUCAGCAGUGAGGAAUAUUGGUCAAUGGACGAGAGUCUGAACCAGCCAAGUAGCGUGAAGGAUGACUGCCCUAUGGGUUGUAAACUUCUUUUAUAAAGGAAUAAAACGAGGCACGUGUGCCUUUUUGCAUGUACUUUAUGAAUAAGGAUCGGCUAACUCCGUGCCAGCAGCCGCGGUAAUACGGAGGAUCCGAGCGUUAUCCGGAUUUAUUGGGUCUAAAGGGAGCGUAGAUGGGUUGUUAAGUCAGUUGUGAAAGUUUGCGGCUCAACCGUAAAAUUGCAAUUGAUACUGGCAGGCUAGAGUACAGUAGAGGCAGGUGGAACUAGUGGUGUAGCGGUGAAAUGCGUAGAUAUAAGGAAGAACCCCGAUUGCGAAGGCAGCUUACUG
rnacentral:rRNA from 1 species